rnacentral:lncRNA from 1 species
AGGAAUGGAGUGCAAUAAUUAGUAGUCUUUUUUUUUUUUGACAAUACAAUAAUUAGUAGUCUUAAAAGUUAAAAGGAAACAAUUGUUUGGUGGACAUUUAUUUCGACUUUUUUGAAAACUUAGUACACAACAGUGACUGAUUUCAAUCUUUUUGCAUGUGCUGAUGCUUUCUUCUCUUCUUUAUAAUAAAGUAUCAUAGAUGUGGAUAAUAUUUUGGUGGUCACGAAUAUUUGUUCACAUUGGGUUAUAUAGCAAAAAGAAAAAAAAGCACCUAAGUCCCUAGAUAGGAUAAUUGUGUUGCAACGUGUAGAUAGGAUAAAGUGAAAAAGUAGAAUUUCAAUAUAUUUUUGUCCCUCCCCUCGGUCCUAAUAGUAUUAUGUAAGGAUACUUUUAUACUUUACUUCUACCACUCUCAAACUCUGCAAAAUUUUCAAUCUUCCGAUCUGCUUGCUUGCCUUGUGUUCUCUUGUUGAAGGAUGGCUG